rnacentral:rRNA from 1 species
UACGUAGGUGGCAAGCGUUGUCCGGAAUUAUUGGGCGUAAAGCGCGCGCAGGCGGCCUCUUAAGUCUGAUGUGAAAGCCCCCGGCUCAACCGGGGAGGGCCAUUGGAAACUGGGAGGCUUGAGUAUAGGAGAGAAGAGUGGAAUUCCACGUGUAGCGGUGAAAUGCGUAGAGAUGUGGAGGAACACCAGUGGCGAAGGCGACUCUUUGGCCUAUAACUGACGCUGAGGCGCGAAAGCUAGGGGAGCAAACGGG